GACGAACGCUGGCGGCGUGCCUAAUACAUGCAAGUAGAACGCACAGUUUAUACCGUAGCUUGCUACACCAUAGACUGUGAGUUGCGAACGGGUGAGUAACGCGUAGGUAACCUGCCUGGUAGCGGGGGAUAACUAUUGGAAACGAUAGCUAAUACCGCAUAAUAUUAAUUAUUGCAUGAUAAUUAAUUGAAAGGUGCAAUUGCACCACUACCAGAUGGACCUGCGUUGUAUUAGCUAGUAGGUGAGGUAACGGCUCACCUAGGCGACGAUACAUAGCCGACCUGAGAGGGUGAUCGGCCACACUGAGACUGAGACACGGCCCAGACUCCUACGGGAGGCAGCAGUAGGGAAUCUUCGGCAAUGGACGAAAGUCUGACCGAGCAACGCCGCGUGAGUGAAGAAGGUUUUCGGAUCGUAAAGCUCUGUUGUAAGAGAAGAACGGGGGUGAGAGUGGAAAGUUCACACUGUGACGGUAUCUUACCAGAAAGGGACGGCUAACUACGUG
rnacentral:rRNA from 1 species